GUUCCUGUAGCGGAGUGGUUACCGCGUGACUCUUAUAGGUCAAGAAUUUUUCUUGGUUUUAUGGUAGAAAUGUCAAGGUCGAGGGUUCGACCCCCUCCAGGAACA
rnacentral:tRNA from 1 species